GUUCUUAUAGUUGAAAAACAACAGUUGUUCUUCAAACAACAAGUUUGAGUUAAAAACUCAAUAAGAAUG
rnacentral:tRNA from 1 species